rnacentral:rRNA from 1 species
AGUGGCGGACGGGUGAGUAAUGUCUGGGAAACUGCCCGAUGGAGGGGGAUAACUACUGGAAACGGUAGCUAAUACCGCAUAACGUCUUCGGACCAAAGUGGGGGACCUUCGGGCCUCACACCAUCGGAUGUGCCCAGAUGGGAUUAGCUAGUAGGUGGGGUAACGGCUCACCUAGGCGACGAUCCCUAGCUGGUCUGAGAGGAUGACCAGCCACACUGGAACUGAGACACGGUCCAGACUCCUACGGGAGGCAGCAGUGGGGAAUAUUGCACAAUGGGCGCAAGCCUGAUGCAGCCAUGCCGCGUGUAUGAAGAAGGCCUUCGGGUUGUAAAGUACUUUCAGUGGGGAGGAAGGCGAUGAAGUUAAUAACUUCGUCGAUUGACGUUACCCGCAGAAGAAGCACCGGCUAACUCCGUGCCAGCAGCCGCGGUAAUACGGAGGGUGCAAGCGUUAAUCGGAAUUACUGGGCGUAAAGCGCACGCAGGCGGUCUGUCAAGUCGGAUGUGAAAUCCCCGGGCUCAACCUGGGAACUGC